AACGGCCAUACCAUGCUGAAUAUACCGGUUCUCGUUAGAUCACCGAAGUCAAGCAUCAUUGGGCGCGGUCAGUACUUGGGUGGGUGGCCACCUGGGAAUACCGUGUGCCGUU
rnacentral:rRNA from 1 species